GCUGAAACAACACGCCUUUUGGGUGUGCUGAAACAGCACGCCUUCGGUUAUGGCAUGCUAAAACAACACGCCUUCUUGAGUAUUAAAUUACACGAACACGUAUUUUGUAUUAUAUGGUCAAAAAAUAUUUUAAUUCGAAUGUACACAAUAUCAAUAUGAAAACGGCCUUGUAAGGUCUGCUGUGUAAUACAUUAAAAUAUUCUACAUUAGAACAUGCAAAUAUAACAAAUGAAUGCAAAUUGUUCAUAUCAGACGUUUUCAUACAGUUAUUAAUAUGGCAGUAAAAUACAACGCCAUAUUUGCGAGGUUAACAUCCAUUAUAAUCGCACCAGUCUAGGCUUCAGUCUUUUCUUCAUUAAGACAUUUUUCAUCUACACAUCUAUCUUAAAUAAACUCCAGUUCCAAAUGGGAUAAAUAUUGUUGCAAUCAGAUAAAGUAAGCAAUUUGUAAUAGAAAUGUCCAAUUAGGCUAUUUGCCAUAAACAUAUCAAAUAUAGAGUGAGGAUAGUGGGCAUCAAAUACAUCAAUAACAAUCUGCAUGAUAUAAGGUUAACCAGGGCUUCCAAGAGAUUUGUUGUUGUCGCAAGGAUAGACUUAUCUUUCUCCAAACAAAUGCUUUAAAGCUAGCAUCUUCUGGUGUGGUGGUUACUACAAGUUUAAAUUCUACCAUCUUGACUUUGAACAAUAUGUCAACUUUGGCGUGAGGAGAUUGCUAAGUAUAAAAACAUAAUUCAAUAAAUUACCGCGCUAAGGGGAAAGUGCUCGUGGGCUGUAAGGGUGUGGGUGUAUUAAAUGUUCACAAUCGCACUUUAUUUAGCUUAAACAAAAACAAUCAAA